rnacentral:tRNA from 1 species
GGGCGCGUAGCUCAGCUGGUAGAGCAUCUGACUUUUAAUCAGACGGUCAUGGGUUCGAACCCCGUCGCGCUCACCA